GAUCUGGGCACUGUCUCAACGAGAGACUCGGUGAAAUUAUAGUACCUGUGAAGAUGCAGGUUACCCGCGACAGGACGGAAAGACCCCGUGGAGCUUUACUGCAGCCUGAUAUUGAAUGUUGGUACAGCUUGUACAGGAUAGGUAGGAGCCUUGGAAACCGGAGCGCUAGCUUCGGUGGAGGCAUCGGUGGGAUACUACCCUGGCUGUAUUGACC
rnacentral:rRNA from 1 species